UACGGUGUUUGCAGGUGAAGCUUGGCAGAA
rnacentral:piRNA from 1 species